rnacentral:rRNA from 1 species
AUUGAACGCUGGCGGCAUGCUUUACACAUGCAAGUCGAACGGCAGCGCGGGCUUCGGCCUGGCGGCGAGUGGCGAACGGGUGAGUAAUGCAUCGGAACGUGCCCAGUAGUGGGGGAUAGCCCGGCGAAAGCCGGAUUAAUACCGCAUACGGCCUGAGGGUGAAAGCGGGGGACCGAAAGGCCUCGCGCUAUUGGAGCGGCCGAUGUCGGAUUAGCUAGUUGGUGGGGUAAAGGCUUACCAAGGCGACGAUCCGUAGCUGGUCUGAGAGGACGACCAGCCACACUGGGACUGAGACACGGCCCAGACUCCUACGGGAGGCAGCAGUGGGGAAUUUUGGACAAUGGGGGCAACCCUGAUCCAGCCGUGCCGCGUGCGGGAAGAAGGCCUUCGGGUUGUAAACCGCUUUUGUUCGGGAAGAAAUCCUCUGGGCUAAUACCCCGGGGGGAUGACGGUACCGGAAGAAUAAGCACCGGCUAACUACGUG